GUAGGGAAUAUUGGACAAUGGGGGGAACCCUGAUCCAGCCAUGCCGCGUGGAGGAAGACUGCCCUCUGGGUUGUAAACUCCUUUUAUAUGGGAAGAACCGUCCUCAUUAAUGAGUGACCUGACGGUACCAUAGGAAUAAGCACCGGCUAACUCCGUGCCAGCAGCCGCGGUAAUACGGAGGGUGCAAGCGUUAUCCGGAUUCACUGGGUUUAAAGGGUGCGUAGGCGGAUAAAUAAGUCAGUGGUGAAAUCAACGGGCUCAACCUGUUAACUGCCAUUGAUACUGUGUAUCUUGAAUAGGAGAGAGGUAGGCGGAAUGUUGCAUGUAGCGGUGAAAUGCUUAGAUAUGCUACGGAACACCGAUUGCGAAGGCAGCUUACUAUUUCGUAAUUGACGCUGAGGCACGAAAGCGUGGGUAGCGAACAGGAUUAGAAACCCGGGUAGUCC
rnacentral:rRNA from 1 species